CUGGAUAUAGACCAGUCACACAUACACAAGCCUCCCCUUGGCUCUAUUUCUAACGCGGAAUACUCCUCUAUUUCCCACCCUUAACCUCAAAUGAAACUAGGGCUCUGGAGCCUGCAUCCCUGGGGAGCUUACCCCACCUGUACAUGCUUGUGGAACCUCCACUUUCGACCCUGGCCUCUUGUCCCUGGAGAAGCGGGUGGGAGACUAAAUGCCCACUUCUAGCGACCCCCUAAACCUCCUCUCCCAUGCCAGCGGUGUGGAGCCACCGGGAGACUCCCGCAUAUCCCUUGGCCCGGCGCCAAUGGGGUGGGGGGUGGAGGGACAAGGAGAGAUGGAGUCUGCGGAGUCCCAAGGAACCCCAGCGCCUUGGUCCCUGCAGGAUCUCCCCACCCCCACUCCGCAUUCUUCCCAGCCGGUCCUCCGGAGGGGACGCGACCCUGUACAUCCUCCCACCGGCACUCUCCACGCAACGGGACAAAGAAACCCCACUGCAGCCGGCAAGCGUGACCGCAGGGCACUGGUGCAGCAGGUCCUGGAACUUCGCAACAACUUGUCUCUCUGUCCUGUGCAUCUGUCUUCUUCCUCAUUACCCGGCUGGCUCCUGGAAGGUGUGGUGGGGUAUGGAGGUGAAGAGGGUAGGCUUUGGAGCCAGAGUGCCUGCUUUCAAGUUUAUACCCACAAUCCAAAUGAAUGAAUGACACAGCAGCUGCGCGACCUCCAAUGGCAACCACCAGGACCAGGAGACACUGCCCCAUCUCGUCCCUCUGACUUCUGUGGACUGGCACUAGGGUCCUCCAGAGCACCGCAGGACAGCUCCUGACAGAUCCUCUCCAUGCCCUGGAACCUUCUUCCUUGAAGCAGUGGUGCAGUUUCCUUUCCCUCCCUUCCUCUCAGAUCUGCUGUUGGCUCUGCGGCUGUCUCCACAUUCUGCUCCUGGGAUGCUCAUCCACCACCUGUGCUCCCACCUAAGUGAAGACAAAACUCCUCUUCCUGGCUUUCCCUCGACAUGCCACAGUAGGCCACCAAAGGAAAGACCCUCAGAGCUACCGAGGAAGAAGGAGUUACAGAUCCCAUCCGUGAAACUGAAAAGGAGAAAACAGCUUUGAUGAUUCAAGGCCCAAAGGAUUCCCUGCUCUCCAUCAUGAGAAAUUUUAAAUGAAAUGUGAUGGGGUGCACAGAGAAUGUGGACAAGAGAGAGGAACAUUGAACAAACGCUGCACGGGUUGUCAAAUGGUAUUGUGAAUGGAUUAGAGCUUCAUUCGUGUGGACUCUGGUGAUAGUGAGGAGUUUCUCUUAUAGAGUUUGGGCCAGUUGUGAGCAGCUGUAGUUGAGUUCACUUCUGGAUGGCUGUCUGUCUUGGGUUUCUACUGUAUGCCCACAGUUUUUCACAGAGGUGCUCACUUGUGGCAAAAGCCUCUUUCAUUAACGGAUGUAUUUAACUAAGGACAAAAUCACCAGCUAAGCAUAGGAGAUACAGUACUGCAAAAAAAUCAGACUCCCAGCCUUCCCGAAACUUAUCAGCUCAUGGUGGAGGUGGGUGAUGAGCAAGUGUCAGGUAGUAAUAAAUGCCAAGAUGAAAAUUUAAGCAAGACAAAGAAGAUGGAGAGCAAGAGAUGAUGUCUCAGUGGGCAGAGUUCAGAAAUUAUUUCUAUGAAGAGAUGACAUGUGACCAAAGUGAAGUGAGGAAAAUAUUUGAGUGUCUGAAAGUAAAUUCUAGAUAAAGAGAAGUGCAGUGGCCAUGAGGUGAGAAUGUGCUGGAAAUGUUUGAGGAGCUUUGGGCAGGACAAUGUGGCUUGAGUCGAGGGAGAGAAGGGGAAGGGCUAGGAGGCAAAGUCAUGGAGAUUGUGUAGGUUGUGCUGUCAAAGGUAAAUACCUAUGUGUGGCUAUUUAGAUUUAAAUCAGAGUGGAGUAAAAUUUCAAGUUCAGAUUCUCAGUUGUUGUAGCCACGUUUCAAGUGUUCAAUCGCCAUGUAUGGCUACCAUUUUGGAUAGCACCAGAAACAGGACAUUGCCAUCAUUGCAGGAAGCUAUUAGAUGGAGCUGAUAAAGAGCUUUGUAGACUCCAGUAAGGAUCAAGGAUUUUAUUCCAAGAAUGAUGGGGAGUUCUGGAAGGGUUUUGGAAAUAAGUGUUUUGAUCUGGUUUGCAUCUUGAAGAGCUCCUUCUGGCUGUGUGGAGAAUAUGGUGCAGGGAAACAAGUAUGGAAUUAGUGAUGUUGGUUAGGGGAAUGAUACAAUAAUCCCUGAGAAAGAUAGAUGGCAGCUUGAACCUGGAUGGAAGCAGUGGAGGUGGUAGGGAUUUUGGAUAUGCAGAGGUUCCUUUACUUACAAUGGGCUUUUAUUCCAAUAGGGUUUCAUAAAUUGAAAAUAUUGCAAGUCAAUGAUACAUUUGAUACACUUAACUUUUACUAAACCUCAGAGCUCACCAAUACAAUAUACGUGGAAUCUCAGUUGUUUUUCACUCAUGAUUGUGUGGUUGACUGGGAGCUGUGGCUCACUUCUACCACAAGACAGCAUCUUACCACAUAUCCUUGACCUGAGAAGACAUCAAAAUUCAAAAUUCAAAGGAUUAUUUCUACUGAAUGUGUAUUGCUUUUGCAUCAUUGUAGUCAAGAACUUGUAAGGGGAACCACCAUCACCAGUAGGGGACUGUGUUAAUCAGUCAUCACUGUGACCAACAGACCCAACAAAAACAAUUUCAGAGGAGGAAAAGUUUAUUUU